AUUGAACGCUGGCGGCAGGCUUAACACAUGCAAGUCGAGCGAGCGGCGGACGGGUGAGUAAUGUCUGGGCAACUGCCUGAUGGAGGGGGAUAACUACUGGCAACGGUAGCUAAUACCGCAUACCAUCAGAUGUGCCCAGAUGGGAUUAGCUAGCAGGUGGGGUAAAGGCUCACUUAGGCGACGCUCCCUAGCUGGUCUGAGAGGACGACCGGCCACACUGAAACUGGGACACGGUCCAGACUCCUACGUGAGGCGGCAGUGGGGAAUAUUGCAAAAUGGGCGCAAGCCUGAUGCAGCCAUGCCGCGUGUAUGAAGAAGGCCUUCGGGUUGUAAAGUCCUUUCAGCGGGGAGGCGUUACCCGCAGAGGAAGCGCCGGCUAACUCCGUGCCAGCAGCCGCGGUAAUAC
rnacentral:rRNA from 1 species